rnacentral:rRNA from 1 species
UACGGGGGGGGCAAGCGUUGUUCGGAAUUACUGGGCGUAAAGCGCGUGUAGGCGGCUUUUCAAGUCAGACGUGAAAGCUCUGGGCUUAACCCAGAAAUUGCGCUUGAUACUGUAGAGCUAGAGUGUGGAAGAGGCUAUUGGAAUUCCGUGUGUAGCGGUGAAAUGCGUAGAUAUACGGAGGAACACCUGCGGCGAAGGCGGAUAGCUGGGCCAACACUGACGCUGAGACGCGAAAGCUAGGGUAGCAAACGGG